UACGGAGGGUGCAAACGUUGCUCGGAAUCAUUGGGCGUAAAGCGCACGUAGGCGGCCUGUUAAGUCGGAUGUGAAAGCCCCGGGCUCAACCCGGGAAGUGCAUUCGAAACUGGCGGGCUUGAAUAUGGAAGAGGGUCGCGGAAUUCCCAGUGUAGAGGUGAAAUUCGUAGAUAUUCGGAAGAACACCAGUGGCGAAGGCGGCUCACUGGACCGGCAUUGACGCUGAGGUGCGAAAGCGUGGGGAGCAAACAGG
rnacentral:rRNA from 1 species